UACAGAGGGUGCAAGCGUUGUUCGGAAUUAUUGGGCGUAAAGCGCGUGUAGGCGGCUUGUUAAGUCGGGUGUGAAAGCCCUCAGCUCAACUGAGGAAGGGCGCCCGAAACUGGCGAGCUUGAGUGUCGGAGAGGAUGGCGGAAUACCCCAAGUAGAGGUGAAAUUCGUAGAUAUGGGGUGGAACACCGGUGGCGAAGGCGGCCAUCUGGACGACAACUGACGCUGAGACGCAAAAGCGUGGGGAGCAAACAGG
rnacentral:rRNA from 1 species